UGGCGAACGGGUGAGUAACACGUGAGUAACCUGCCCCCUUCUUCUGGAUAACCGCAUGAAAGUGUGGCUAAUACGGGAUAUUCUGGGUCUGUCGCAUGGCGGGCCCGGGAAAGAUAUUGCUUCGGUGGGGAUGGGCUCGCGGCCUAUCAGCUUGUUGGUGGGGUGAUGGCCUACCAAGGCGGUGACGGGUAGCCGGCCUGAGAGGGUGGACGGUCACACUGGGACUGAGACGCGGCCCAG
rnacentral:rRNA from 1 species